rnacentral:rRNA from 1 species
AGAGUUUGAUCCUGGCUCAGAUUGAACGCUGGCGGCAUGCUUUACACAUGCAAGUCGAACGGCAGCACGAGUGCUUGCACUUGGUGGCGAGUGGCGAACGGGUGAGUAAUGCAUCGGAACGUGUCUUAAAGUGGGGGAUAACGCAUCGAAAGAUGUGCUAAUACCGCAUAUACUCUGAGGAGGAAAGUAGGGGAUCGAAAGACCUUAUGCUUUGAGAGCGGCCGAUGUCUGAUUAGCUAGUUGGUAAGGUAAAGGCUUACCAAGGCGACGAUCAGUAGUUGGUCUGAGAGGACGACCAGCCACACUGGGACUGAGACACGGCCCAGACUCCUACGGGAGGCAGCAGUGGGGAAUUUUGGACAAUGGGCGAAAGCCUGAUCCAGCAAUGCCGCGUGAGUGAAGAAGGCCUUCGGGUUGUAAAGCUCUUUCAGUCGAGAAGAAAAAAUUAUGAUUAAUAAUUAUAAUUGAUGACGGUAUCGACAGAAGAAGCACCGGCUAACUACGUGCCAGCAGCCGCGGUAAUACGUAGGGCGCGAGCGUUAAUCGGAAUUACUGGGCGUAAAGGGUGCGCAGGCAGUUUUGUAAGUCAGAUGUGAAAUCCCCGGGC